rnacentral:lncRNA from 1 species
AUAUAUCUAAAACUUGCAACUUGGGAAACGAAAGGUAGCUUUGUGAAGGCAACGACAUGUUACCAUCAAAUUUGUUAGACUUCAAAACUAGCACUCGAAGCUGAGGAAGAGCUUCCAUCCAAAAUGGAAAUUUGUCUAGUAUUCUAUUAUUUCCGACAUCGAGGCUCUUAAGACUUUUGCAAUUGAUUAAGGAUUUAGGUAAUCUUCCUUGCAAUUUAUUACCACUCAAAUUGAUGGAGAUAAGACUACACCCUUUUAUGAAUAUUGAUGGAAUGAGGCCACUAAAGUGAUUCGCAAUUUCAAUAUGUGGAAUCCCUUAUAUGGAUUUUAUUUUUGAAUAAUUCCUUGCAUAUAAUUUCAAUUCAUCCAACAUUAUUAACGAAUGCCUUCAUAUUCAGAAUCAUCCAAUUAAUUGCGUUCAGUUUAGAUGCUAUGUGUAGCGAAACUUUCAUUAUCAAAUGAAUUACGCUAGAUGAGUGCAUUUGGGAAAGAGCAAGAAAGUGAUAUUUCAAAAUGCAAAUCAUCCAUAAAAUUGAAUUGACUUGAUAGAAUACAUAUGAAAUUUUACUCUCCUCUGCCUCACUCCUUUUUCUGCUGUUGAGGUUUAUGUUGGACGGGAUUGAAUAUUGAAGGUAUCAUUGGCAUAUGUUGAUAUUAGAGAUAAAAAAAAAAGAUUGGGGACUCUAAUCACCAACAAAUUCAACAUUCAAAUCAAUGAUUUCUCACAAUCGCAUAAAAAUGGGGGCUAUGAGGAAAUUUAGUAAAUUUAUUAAUAUUUUUUAUUAUUAUAUUUAAAUUGGAGGCUAUACAAGUAAAAUGGGGGCUGUAUAGAAUCACCCAAAUAUCUAUUGUCUAGGGAUGUCAUGAUUUUAGGCACAAGCCCAAAUUAGGUGUGUAAGAUGUCAAGAAACAUAGUUUAGGGAUGUCAUGAUUUACUAAACAUAGUAUCUAAAGGAAUUAAGAUUCCCUAAAGAAUGGCGAAAAGAAGCAUGGGAUCCUCUGUCCCAGAAUAUUGUGUGUACCACGUGUACUACUCUUCAUUUUUUUAUUUUAUAAAUUAUUUUUUAUAAAAAUAAAAAAAUAUUAUUAUAUUAUAAACUCUAAUUAGUAUUUAUCAUUGAAAAUUUAAAAUUUUAUAAAUUAUAUACCCUAACUUUGAAUUAAUGAACUCAAAUAAUCUAUUAUUAAUUCAAAUAAAUAUAAAAAAAUAAUUAUAAAUCCUAAAUGGAUGAGUGAACCCUUUUUAAUUAUCUUUAUAUUAUAUAAAAGCAUAAUAAAUUAAAAUUGAAUAAAAAAUAAUUUAAAAAUAUUAAAAAAUGAUCAAUGGUACACAUGGUACACACUAUAUUUUGGGACAAAUGAUCCCAUUUGGAAACGAAGUCCCCCAAAUGUUCGAUAAAAAGCCCAGAAGAAAAUAACUGCUUUUAUCAUACCGGGACUCCAUCACAAUCACUUUCAAAGAAAAUUGUAAGAAAAUCAGCAAAAUCACUGUCCUUUUCUUCGUGUGAUGGCUUCUGGGGAGGCUGAGAUCAAUGCGUCACGUAGCAGCAGGAAAUUUUAUAAACUCUAAAUCACAAACUCACGAGUAACAAUAAAAAAACAAUCUGAAGUCCAGAAAAGAGAAAAAGAGUAAGAAAGAAAAGUUCAUAAUAUAUGGUAUUUGUCUUGAAUCAACUUCUCCUGUGUGUUGGUGUAGCUCUCUUCCUUGUCUUCUUCUUCUUCUUGUUCUUAUUGUAUGUAUAUCCGACGCCAAAAAAGAAUUCCACCAACCAUCUUGGCCUUCCAAAUCGAAUAAUCCAACAACCAAUUCCAAUUCCAACUAUGAUUCCACUUCCAUAUCCCAUCACCACACUUUUCCAUCCAAAUCCAUCUAUAAAUCCAUACUCAUCAUCUUCUUCUGGCUGCAUCCGCUGCCCAUUCUCCUCGUUGCAUUUUCUCGUCAAUGGAAAUCCACACAAUCUCAAGUUUCCCACGUAUGAAUCAUUCUCAAAUGUGGAAAACUGAGUAGAUUGUGGUAUUUGCCCCACUAGAUCAUUCAUUGACAGGUUUAAUUUCGCAAGAAAUGUUAACCUCGUCAAUACACUUGGAAUUCUUCCAUCCAAUUUGUUCGAUGACAAGUCCAAUGAUUCAAGCACACUUUUUAUUUCCAAGAGAUGCAGGUAUGUGUCCCAUGAGAUUAUUGUGCGACAAAUUCAAGUAUCUCAAAGAAUUCAGAUUACCUAUGGAAUCUGGAAUACUCCCAGAGAAAUUGUUGGAGGAUAAGUCAAUGGUUGUAAAGGUUUUCAACAAUCUCUUCAAUAACUGAUCCAGACCUUUCAAGGUGAUUCUCAUCUCCAAAUAUCCUCGAAAUUCGUCAUAACUUAUUUGAUUUUCCUUUACAUCCAUCAUUGCUCUAAAACUCUUGAAAUAUCUUUGAGGUAGAGAGCCCACAAAUUCGUUCUCUGAUAUAUCUAAAACUUGCAACUUAGGAAAUGGAAGGUUGCUUCGUGAAGCCAACGACAUGUUACCAUCAAACUUGUUAGACUUCAAGACGAGCACUCGAAGCUCAGGAAGAGCUUCCAUCCAAAACGGAAAUUCGUCUUGUAUUCUAUUAUUUCCAACAUCGAGGCCCUUCAGACUUUUGCAAUUGAUUAAGGAUUUAGGUAAUCUUCCUUGCAAUUUAUUACCACUCAAAUUGAUGGACUGAAGACUACACCCUUUGAUAAAUAUUGAUGGAAUGGGGCCACUAAAGUUAUUUGCAUUUAAAUGAAAUAUGGACAACGAUUUGCUCAAGUUUCGAAAGCAUUGUGGAACUGUCCCUUCCAAACUGUUAUUUGAGAGUAGAAGAAACUGAAGGGAUGUCAAGUUGCAGAUGGAGAAUGGAAGCUCACCAUUUAAUUUGUUGGAAGAGAGUUGUAAUGAAUAUAAAUUUGGUAAAUUUCCGAUGGUGGAUGGUAUUGGACCUGGAAGUUUGAGAAGUCAACGUAGAUAUAUAUUGCUUUAGAGACAAUCUGGAUACAUAAAGAAACAUGGCAAUGAAGAAAUACAUUUUAUGCACGUGAAGUAUUUUGAUAGAAAUUAAAUUAGCUCUUCUAUUCUUAUAUCACCCAUGCAUGUCUCAUAUAUUCAAUGGCAUCUUAAUUUAAUAUAGCAUUCGCUAACAUUGAUCCUUAAAAUUAAUAGAGUUACAAUAUGGCUGGAAACAACAAAUCCAACUAUUGUUAAAGUAUUUAGUUAAUUAAUCACGAGUUAAUUAAAUGAGAACAACCUAGCAAGUUCAGAAAUCAAAGAUUCAAAAUUAGAUAAGUCAUCCUUUUCUAUCUCAUAUUGCAGAUGAAGUGACAAAGGAAUUAGACAAAUCGCAUAUCUUAUAUGAACACACGUAAGGCAAAUUUCCUUGCAAUUUAUUAACACUCAAAUUGUUAGACUAAAAAAUACGCCCUCUCAUAAAUAUUGAUGGAAUGGGGCCACUAAAGUGAUUUGCAUUUAGAUGAAAUAUGUCUAAAGAUUUCCAAACUGUUAUUUGAGAAAAUAAGAAUUUGAAGGGAUGUCAUGUUGCACAUGGAGAAUGGAAGCUCACCAUUUAAUUUGUUGGAAGAGAGGUCUAGC